UAAGACGGAGGGGGCAAGCGUUGUUCGGAAUUAUUGGGCGUAAAGGGCUCGUAGGCGGAUCUAAAAGUCUGACGUGAAAUCUCCACCGCUCACCGGGGAGGGGCCGUUGGAUACUGUAGAUCUGGAGUUCGGUAGAGGGUCGUGGAAUUUCGGGUGUAGCGGUGGAAUGCGUAGAUAUCCGAAAGAACACCGGUGGCGAAGGCGGCGACCUGGGCCUGAACUGACGCUGAGGAGCGAAAGCUAGGGGAGCAAACGGGAUUAGAUACCCCGGUAGUCCUAGCUGUAAACGGUGGAUACUAGGUGUGGGGGGUAUCGACCCCUCCCGUGCCGCAGUUAACACAUUAAGUAUCCCGCCUGGGAAGUACGGCCGCAAGGUUG
rnacentral:rRNA from 1 species